GUGGUAGCAAUACCAUGAGUAAAGCGGCGCACGGGUGAGUAACACGUGACUAACCUACCCUCGAGUGGGGAAUAACUUCGGGAAACCGAGGCUAAUACCGCAUAAUACCCACGGGUCAAAAGAGCAAUCUGCUUGAGGAGGGGGUCGCGGCCGAUUAGUUAGUUGGCAGGGUAAUGGCCUACCAAGACGAUGAUCGGUAUCCGGCCUGAGAGGGCGCACGGACACACUGGAACUGAAACACGGUCCAGACUCCUACGGGAGGCAGCAGUGGGGAAUUUUGCGCAAUGGGGGAAACCCUGACGCAGCAACGCCGCGUGGAGGAUGAAGUCCUUCGGGACGUAAACUCCUUUCGAUCGGGACGAUUAUGACGGUACCGGAAGAAGAAGCCCCGGCUAACUUCGUGCCAGCAGCCGCGGUAAUACGAGGGGGGCGAGCGUUGUUCGGAAUUAUUGGGCGUAAAGGGUGCGUAGGCGGUUUGGUAAGUCUCUUGUGAAAUCUAUGGGCUCAACUCAUAGUCUGCAAGGGAAACUGCCGGGCUUGAGUGUGGGAGAGGUGAGUGGAAUUUCCGGUGUAGCGGUGAAAUGCGUANAUAUCGGAAGGAACACCUGUGGCGAAAGCGGCUCACUGGACCACAACUGACGCUGAUGCACGAAAGCUAGGGGAGCAAACAGGAUUAGAUACCCUGGUAGUCCUAGCCCUAAACGAUGACUGCUUGGUGUGACGGGUACCCAAUCCCGCCGUGCCGUAGCUAACGCGUUAAGCAGUCCGCCUGGGGAGUACGGUCGCAAGGCUGAAACUC
rnacentral:rRNA from 1 species